rnacentral:rRNA from 1 species
CAGCCGCCACGGUAAUACGUAGGUGGCAAGCGUUGUCCGGAAUUAUUGGGCGUAAAGGGUGCGUAGGCGGUUUGAUAAGUCUUGUGUGAAAUCCAUGGGCUCAACCCAUAGUCUGCAUAGGAAACUGUCGGGCUUGAGAGUGGGAGAGGUGAGUGGAAUUUCCGGUGUAGCGGUGAAAUGCGUAGAUAUCGGGAGGAACACCUGUGGCGAAAGCGGCUCACUGGACCAUUUCUGACGCUGAUGCACGAAAGCUAGGGGAGCAAACAGGAUUAGAUACCCCCGUAGUCCCUGUCUCUUAUAU